rnacentral:rRNA from 1 species
GAUGAACGCUGGCUACAGGCUUAACACAUGCAAGUCGAGGGGAAACGCCGGGGAAGCUUGCUUCCCCGGGCGUCGACCGGCGCACGGGUGAGUAACGCGUAUCCAACCUGCCUCUGACUGAGGGAUAACCCGUCGAAAGUCGGCCUAAUACCUCAUGGCAUCGUCUGCGGGCAUCCAACGACGAUUAAAGAUUUCAUCGGUCAGAGAUGGGGAUGCGUCUGAUUAGCUUGUUGGCGGGGUAACGGCCCACCAAGGCGACGAUCAGUAGGGGUUCUGAGAGGAAGGUCCCCCACAUUGGAACUGAGACACGGUCCAAACUCCUACGGGAGGCAGCAGUGAGGAAUAGUGGUCAAUGGGCGAGAGCCUGAACCAGCCAAGUAGCGUGCAGGAUGACGGCCCUAUGGGUUGUAAACUGCUUUUAUGCGGGGAUAAAGUGAGGGACGUGUCCUUCAUUGCAGGUACCGCAUGAAUAAGGACCGGCUAAUUCCGUG